CAAUACUAUUGUGCUGUGGUUCCAGAUAUUGUUAAAUGAAAAACAUUGGAGACAAAACAACAUCGAACACCUUAAAUAUCAGGUCUUUUAGACGUGAGGAGAGGAAGGAGAGCAGCACCAUAACACCAGCUACAUUCUCUCUCAAGGGUACCACCAUGGUCCGAGGUACGUUGAACACUAUGGAAGAUCUAAGACUCUCUGGGUUUGGUCGUCACUUGCCCAGGCAUGGACUCAAGCUCCUGUUCUGGUUCGCCAAGAAUUACAUCGACUUUGAUAUCAUGGGUGAAAUGGUUGCAAGAUACAACCCCAACGAGGGGGGCUUUGAUUUCCAUCCCUUCCAGAACAGACCGGAGUGGGACUACAGCAAUGUGACCACAAAUAUAGCUGUAAUUACCUGCAAUUUUCUGCUCCCCGAUAAUGUCCACCCACACUAUAUAGUGGGCAACCUGAAUCUGGAAGAAUCCAAUUGCCUUCCUCAGUAUGUGAGAAAAGACUUUGCUGGUGACCAAGACGACAGUAACAUGGACCGCCUCAUCAUCAGUCUGCGUCCCGAUGGGACUGUGGAUAAGGUUUAUGUGACCCAGCAUGACGAUGAAGGUCUGAGUUUUGACCCUGACAACACCUAUCGCGUCACCAGGGGUCUGCUCAGGGACAUCCGUGGCCUAAAGCUGCCUUUUUCAUGAUGAAAUCGAUUUUUGGAAAAAAAAGAAGAUCUAUUUAGCAUUACUAUGCUAUUGGACCUGGUUCUGCAUGGGUGGAGAUUCGGUGAGCCUCGUGAAAUCCUCAGGCAGUAUAAGUUAAUAGACCAACAACAAAUGGAGUUCCAAACCAGAAGAGGAACAACUGUGUGGAAUGAAACAGCCCAGACCAGGCUGCAAGGGUUACCAGAACUGCUUGAGCUAGUGACCUCAAUUGGCUGUAACUCACACACUUGGGCCCAUAUUCACAAAGUGUCUCAGAGUGGAGUGUAAACACACGAAAACGGCAGUUUAUUUAAUGCAAGUGUUUACACUGCUUUUGAGGAAAAAUGUGUUGAAUGGCGAGCGUUUACUCACUUAUUUUCUUCACCCCUACAAAUCACUAAUGUCAUUAAUGUCUCAGUUUGUACU